CGGGGUGCACCAGGCGCGAAAACUUUACAAUGCUGGCAACAGCGAUAAGGGGACCUCGAGUGCCAGGUUAUAAAUCUGGCUGUCGUGAUGCCUAAAAAGCAUUGCAUAGCAAGGGCCGGGCAAGACCGGUGCCAGCCGCCGCGGUAACACCGGCGGCUCGAGUGGUAACCGUUAUUAUUGGGUCUAAAGGGUCUGUAGCCGGCCGGAUAAGUCUCUUGGGAAAUCCAGCAGCUCAACUGUUGGGCUUUCAGGAGAUACUGUCUGGCUCGAGGCCGGGAGAGGUGAGAGGUACUUCAGGGGUAGGGGUGAAAUCUUGUAAUCCUUGAAGGACCACCAGUGGCGAAGGCGUCUCACCAGAACGGACCUGACGGCAAGGGACGAAAGCUAGGGGCACGAACCGGAUUAGAUACCCGGGUAGUCCUAGCCGUAAACGAUACUCGCUAGGUGUCGGCCACGGUGCGACCGUUGUCGGUGCCGUAGGGAAGCCGUGAAGCGAGCCACCUGGGAAGUACGGCCGCAAGGCUGAAACUUAAAGGAAUUGGCGGGGGAGCACAAGGGCGAUUCGC
rnacentral:rRNA from 1 species